CUGCUGUAGAGGAUGAAACCUGGAGAAAAUACAGCUAAACUACACUGAGGCUAACUUCAGCACUACUAACGUGGUAGCUAACUGCUGUGAGAGUUUAGUAGUAAGUUCAGUGUUUAGAUGUAGCGCUUGAGAGACGACUAGCAGCGUCGGUAGCUUUGAUGUCCGUAGGAUUUCUUCUGUCUUUGCUGAUUCAAGAGCGAGAAGACCUUGUGGCUUUACUGGGCGCCGCCAUUUUGGGUGUGUGUCCAGCCGCUCUGGUGAAAUUGGUCAGGUUUUUUUUGUGUGUGCGCGUGUUUCUUCUUCCAUUGUCUGGAUUGGAUCUGCGGAUGAAAAUUGAUGGCGAGCCGUCCCUCUUGAAUGAUUGUGGGAGCCAUUCCCUCUUCAGGAUCACUGGACCUGUCCCGCUACUACUGCACUUUGCGCCGAACCAACCGACUUAACCAACCAAUCAGAUCACGGCCCUACCCAUAAUCCUUCCUGUGUGCUACAUAAGCAUUGGAAAGCAUCGUCCGUGUGGAAGGCAGGAUCAUAAAGUACACAAGUCAUGGAAUCCAUUCCGGCUGAUCCAGUCCUGGACUCCGCUCCUCCUCCUCCGAUACGCUCCAGUCCCAGAUCCAUCCAAGGAUGAAGACUACGCUGAUGUUAAAACUGCUGCUGAAACACGACACCAUAAGCCAGAGAGAGAUGAUGAACUAAUGCAACAUUAAAGACCUACAGAAGCACUGUUCUGCUCCAGUAACUGUAAUGCAACACAUCGUGUUGCCCAGUCAUGGAAAUGCCAAUUAUAAAAGGAAUAUUUGGUAUUUGGAACAUUGUUGAAGCGACGGGUCACGUGACAGCCUCACAUGCAAUUGGAGCAGUUUGGAGCGUUUAUCAAAGGAUGCCAUAAUGACUUAAAGACAGCUGAGUAGCAAACAACACCUCCACUUUGGAGACCUGCAAGAGUUCUACAAUCUCAACAAAAUACUUCACUCUAGCUUCACAAGAAAGUAGGCUGGAGCACAGAAUGGACUCAGUACAGCGAUGUCAUCAUUGGAUAAUUGCAGGCCAAUCACAACAACAUGUUUGCAUUCAAGAACAGAUCAUGUAGAGCUCUCCAAGUUCACAUGAUCAUCACCUUAUGGUUACAGCGGUCUGAAAUAAAGUUCAUCGGAAAAGAACAUGUUCUGAGCCGGACAAGGCCAGAAACUGCUGUUGGAACAAAGAUGCCGAAUUUCACAGCGUCUUAGUGACAGACGAGAGAACCUGCAUGCUGAAGAUUUACACAAAGAGGACAAAAGUGAGAAAACAGCCAUCAAAAACUCUGUUCUGAGCCGUCACAGUACAGUGGACAAAAGUGGACAUUGGUACACAGAGAUUGUCUGGACAGAUCCAAAUGGACUGAGCUGGAGGGGGCGGGACAGACACCAGUGACAGGAAACAGCUGGGACACACACACCAGGGUUGCGGGGGGGCUGGAGCCAAUCCCAGCUGACAUCGGGCGCAAGGCGG